rnacentral:piRNA from 1 species
UAACAGUUGAACUGUCCUCUACUCUCAGC